AAUGAACGCUGGCGGCAGGCCUAACACAUGCAAGUCGAACGAGAUCUUCGGAUCUAGUGGCGGACGGGUGAGUAACGCGUGGGAACGUACCCUUUGCUUCGGAAUAGCCUCGGGAAACUGGGAGUAAUACCGAAUGUGCCCUUCGGGGGAAAGAUUUAUCAGCAAAGGAUCGGCCCGCGUUGGAUUAGCUAGUUGGUGGGGUAAUGGCCCACCAAGGCGACGAUCCAUAGCUGGUUUGAGAGGAUGACCAGCCACACUGGGACUGAGACACGGCCCAGACUCCUACGGGAGGCAGCAGUGGGGAAUCUUAGACAAUGGGGGCAACCCUGAUCUAGCCAUGCCGCGUGAGUGAUGAAGGCCUUAGGGUUGUAAAGCUCUUUCGCUGGGGAAGAUAAUGACUGUACCCAGUAAAGAAGCCCCGGCUAACUCCGUGCCAGCAGCCGCCGUAACAC
rnacentral:rRNA from 1 species